rnacentral:rRNA from 1 species
CGUGACUUCCUUGCCAGCGUACGUGGUAAGACGGGGUGUGUAAGGGUUGUUCGGUAUCACAGCGCGUAAAGGUGGCUGAUGGGGCUCGAUAAUACACUUGUGAACUCCCGUUGCUCAACGACGGGGCCGCAGGUGAGACUGUCUUGCUUGAGGUUUGGAGAGUCGAGUGGAAUUCCCGGUGUAUCGGUGGAAUGCGUAGAGAUCGGGAAGAACACCGGUGGCGAAGGCGGCUCGCUGGGCCAAUGCUGACGCUUAUGCGCGAAAGCGUGGGGAGCAAACAGGAUUAGAUACCCGGGUAUUC